rnacentral:rRNA from 1 species
GACGAACGCUGGCGGCGCGCCUAACACAUGCAAGUCGAACGAGCGAGAGAGAGCUUGCUUUCUCGAGCGAGUGGCGAACGGGUGAGUAACGCGUGAGGAACCUGCCUCAAAGAGGGGGACAACAGUUGGAAACGACUGCUAAUACCGCAUAAGCCCACGGCUCGGCAUCGAGCAGGGGGAAAAGGAGCAAUCCGCUUUGAGAUGGCCUCGCGUCCGAUUAGCUAGUUGGUGAGGUAACGGCCCACCAAGGCGACGAUCGGUAGCCGGACUGAGAGGUUGAACGGCCACAUUGGGACUGAGACACGGCCCAGACUUCUACGGGAGGCAGCAGUGGGGAAUAUUGCACAAUGGGGGAAACCCUGAUGCAGCGACGCCGCGUGGAGGAAGAAGGUCUUCGGAUUGUAAACUCCUGUUGUUGGGGAAGAUAAUGACGGUACCCAACAAGGAAGUGACGGCUAACUACGUG